UACGUAGGAUCCAAGCGUUGUCCGGAUUUACUGGGUGUAAAGGGUGCGCAGGCGGACUUGUUAGUCAGAGGUGAAAUCUCACUGCUCAACAGUGAAACUGCCUUUGAUACUGCAGGUCUUGAAUCCAGAAGAGAGUUGUGGAAUUCCGAGUGUAGCAGUGAAAUGUGUAGAUAUUCGGAAGAACACCAGCGGCGAAGGCAGCAACUUGGUCUGGUAUUGACGCUCAGGCACGAAAGCAUGGGGAUCAAACAGGAGUUAGAUGAUCC
rnacentral:rRNA from 1 species